rfam:Dickeya dadantii 3937, complete genome.
CUGGGCGGCUGAAUUAGAGAUCGGCGCCUGUUCUAUCUAUAAUAUUUUGGAGUAAAUCAUGUCUCUAAGCGUUGAAGCGAAAGCGAAAAUUGUUGCGGAAUUCGGUCGUGGCACC